CCCUCUUUGGGAGUGGGCACCCCCUGUAAAUCUAUCCUUGUCUGGGGUAUGUAGCCCAUCCACUUUGUCAUCCACCACAUAGUAAUACAAAGUUUAGGAUACAGUAUUUAUAUAUUUACUCCUCUAUUUAUUGCAUACGUUUCCGUAAAAUGCUCCGUGUAUUCAUGGACAAGGUUGGCAUUGGUUAUCAUGGCUUUCAUAAAUUUUCGCUCAUGAAACUAUUUCAUAAUUAAAAUAGUAGACUUUAGUAUAGCUAAUUGGGUGUAAUAUUUAAAGCACAUUUAAGAGUGUAUGCUGUAAUUCAAAUAAUACUUUACAUGCCAUCUCAUUAGUGUUUGUAUGUAGGGUAUACUAAUUAGAUAUUUUGUUUCAUUGGGUAUGAAACCAAGUUCACGUAACAUACACGUAUUUUGGUUGACAUGAUUUGCAAAAAACUUAUAAAUUACGAGUGUUUGAAUUAUGUUUAAUAUCCUCCUUACUCCCACGCUUUAUAAUCAUAUUUCGCGUUUUAAUUUGACACCAGUUUAUCCGUACCCUUCCGUACCAGGCACCAUGAUAUUUGAAAAUAUGUCAUGCACAUGCCUAUCCACGUGUCUAGUUUACACCAAUAAGAGGGUGCGAAAUUUUGGCGCAAAGUACAUGGAUCUAAACUAAAAGACGGUUGAUAAUUGUGCUCUAUCUCGCUCGAAGCAGUUCGCUACUGAAGUACAUAAACAUUCUCCGCUUUGCGUCUGGGAUAUCUUCAAAGGUCAAAGUAAAAGCUAUGUUACACGAACUGUAUCAAGAUUCAGUACGAUUGUAGAAGGUAAGCUCAAUUAUGCUUUUAAUAUAAAUAUGUAUUCGUGUUUACCCAUACACUUGGCUCUAAGAUGUCAUGUCUUAAAUCGUUAAAUCGUAGAACCAUUUUGUUCUGUUGUCUAACUUUGUCCACUGUUUAUGUUGCUCUUCCUAUUAUUGGAUCUAUAUUAAAGUACAUGGUAAUUGCAGUCUGCGUUCUUGUUCAAACUAAAUAAAAUAUAAUUGCAAAAUAUCUUGGUGCGCAUUCACGCAAUUAUAACCAACUGCCGCGUACUACACUAAUUAUCGUAUGUUUAUUGCGUUAUUUACAGGGUGCGCAAAUAUAAAUUGCUGGAUGAUAUACUGUAUAUUCUACACA
rnacentral:lncRNA from 1 species